rnacentral:tRNA from 1 species
GCCCCAGUAGCUCAGUAGGAUAGAGCGGCGGCUUCCUAAGCCGCAGGUCGGGGGUUCGAUUCCCUCCUGGGGCG